rnacentral:rRNA from 1 species
UACAUGGGGUGCAAACGUUGCUCGGAAUCAUUGGGCGUAAAGCGCGCGUAGGCGGUUGCUUAAGUCGGAUGUGAAAGCCCUCGGCUUAACUGAGGAAGUGCAUCCGAAACUGAGCAGCUAGAGUACGAAAGAGGGUCGCGGAAUUCCCGGUGUAGAGGUGAAAAUUCGUAGAUAUCGGGAGGAACACCGGUGGCGAAGGCGGCGACCUGGGUCGAGACUGACGCUGAGGCGCGAAAGCG